GUUUCGAUUCUCCUCUAUUUCUUGAUGCAAAAGGUAGUCAAAGGUUCUAAUUCUCCUUUUGUCUAUUGGUCAGUGUACGAAACCCUUUAAGUAGUAUUGGCAAAGGGUUCCGAUUCUCCUCUAUUUCUUGGUGUAAAAUGUAUUAAAGGGUUCUAAUUCUUCUUUCAUCUAUUGGUCGGUGUAGAAACCCUUUGAGUAGUAUUGGCAAAGGGUUCCAAUUCUCCUCUAUUUCUCCAUGUAAAAAAGUAUUAAAAGUCGUAGCAAUAGAUUCUCAAAAGCACAAAAUUCUCCGUCUUUCUGGGCAUAAAAAACGUAUUUAAAUUAGUGACAAUAGACUCCAAAAAGCACAAAAUUCUGUCAUCUAUUGGUUAGUGUUGAAAGUGGAAAAGGGUUCUGAUUCUCCGUCUUUCUUGGGUGUUAAAAAAGGUAUUAAAAUUAGUGACAACAGACUCCAAAAUGCACAAGGUUCCAAUUCUCCUUUCGUCUAUUGGUCAGCGUACAGACCUUAUAAAAGUACUGACUCACAGGUUCUAAUCUUCCUUCAUCUACUAGGAAAAUUAACCUUGCCAAAUUUUCCGUGGAUCUUCAGUCAAACCACGAUUUCCGCAAGCGUGACUCUCAUUUGUUUCUUGUUAUUGCUGAUGAUGAUGAUGGUGAGCAAUACUGUCGUCCUAGAUCGCGGUCACGCCGGAAAACCACGGAAAUGAAAACCAGGCCAGCGGAAAUCGAGUUUUGACGGAAGAUCCACAGAUUUGCCCCAGAGUAACGACCCUUAAGAAAACGUACAUCUUCCUCAGUUCCAGUUCUUCCUUCCCUCGUUUUCCUUCCUUUCUUUAUCCUCCUUCUCUGUCUCCCUUCCUUUGCUUGGGGUCAGUUUUCCUUCCCUCUCUUCCUCCUUCUCCUCCUUCCUUAUCUCCCUUCCCUUCUCUUCCUCCUUUUUCUUUCACUUCAUCUUUUUCUUUCUUUCUUUCCUUCACUUUCUUGUCGUCCACUAAAUCACUUUCCUUUUUAUUUUUUUUAACUUAACGUAUCUUGUUUUCCUUCCGUUUCUUCCUUUCUUUCUUUUUGUUGAUAUAUUUUUCUUUCUUAAUUCACAUUUUUUAUUAUUUUUGUAUCUUUUUUUUCUUCAAUCUUCAACUAACUUCUUCAAUUUCUUUCUUUUCUUUCUGAUUUUCUUUUUUUUCCUCCACUUUUCAAUUUAUUUUUUCAAUCGUCAACUAACUUCAAUUUCAUCUCUCUCUCUCUCUCUCUCUCUCUCUCUCUCUCUCUCUCUCUCUCUCUCUCUCUCUCUCUCUCUCUCUCUCUCUCAUGCUAUCUUUCUUUCUUUCUUUCUUUCUCUCGUCGACACAAUUUUACAUUCAUUUUCUGUCUAUGUUUCCUUCUUCUUCUUCUCCUUGUUUUUUUUUCUUUGUUUUUCUCUAAGCUUAAAAUCCUAACCAUAACACUUUAGGCUUGAGAGGAGGACUCGGUGUAUGUUCGUACGUUGGUUUGCCGUUGUUUGUGGCGAUGUUUUAAUUGUUUGGUCGGGUGUUUG